rnacentral:rRNA from 1 species
GAUGAAUGCUGGCGGCGUGCCUAACACAUGCAAGUCGAGCGGCAGCGCGAGUAGUUUACUACUUGGCGGCGAGCGGCGGACGGCUGAGUAACACGUGGGAACGUGCCCCAAAGUGAGGGAUAACGCACCGAAAGGUGUGCUAAUACCGCAUAUGGUCUUCGGAUUAAAGAAUUUAUUCGCUUUGGGAGCGGCCCGCGUCGGAUUAGGUAGUUGGUAGGGUAAUGGCCUACCAAGCCGACGAUCCGUAGCUGGUCUGAGAGGAUGAUCAGCCAGACUGGAACUGAGACACGGUCCAGACUCCUACGGGAGGCAGCAGUGAGGAAUCUUCCACAAUGGGCGAAAGCCUGAUGGAGCAACGCCGCGUGCAGGAUGAAGGCCUUCGGGUUGUAAACUGCUUUUAUAAGUGAAGAAUAUGACGGUAACUUAUGAAUAAGCACCGGCUAACUACGUGCCAGCCGCCGCCGUAA